rnacentral:rRNA from 1 species
UACGUAGGGGGCAAGCGUUGUCCGGAUUUAUUGGGCGUAAAGAGCGUGUAGGCGGCCUGACAGGUCAGCUGUGAAAACUCGAGGCUCAACCUCGAGACGUCGGUUGAAACCGUAAGGCUAGAGUCCGGAAGAGGAGAGUGGAAUUCCCGGUGUAGCGGUGAAAUGCGCAGAUAUCAGGAAGAACACCCGUGGCGAAGGCGGCUCUCUGGGACGGUACUGACGCUGAGACGCGAAAGCGUGGGGAGCGAACAGG